AGAGCCUCUGUGCUUGGGGCGGGGGGAGGCGGUGCCCCCUCCUCAAUACCCGGCCUUCCCGCCGCUCCGAACCAACGCCGUUCCCGUCGUUUUUUUCCGCACCGUGUCAGCACCUAACAUGGAGAGGGCUUGGAAAAGCCACAACGAAAUGAGGGAUUUGCAAAAUGCCUAUUUGCAGAAGCGGCGGGGGAGAGGGGUGAAACACCGGCCUCGCACCCCUCAACACCCCCCACCCCCGGGAACCCUCGGCAAGGGGCCUGCUGCUCGUCCCCGCGCGCCGGGCGUGCGAGCGGGCAGCGCCGUCUGCUUCCCAAUCCACAUCCUAAUCCACAUCCCAAUCCACAUCCUAACCCACAGUCCCGCCGGCCGGGGCAUCCCUGCUGCCUUGGCCCCGCCGCCCCCCGCCUCGGCUCUGCUCUUUUGUUUUCGGACGGGGCCUCCGCACUUUGGACGGUGGCGGCGCGCCCAGGGCAGGGCUAAACGCGGUGUCGGUGUGUCCCGGGCGGCUCUCCCGCGGGCCUCUCCCUGCGCGGCUUUGUGCUCCUUCUCGCCCGCCCGCGUGUGCAGGCACACCGGCCUCCGCAUACCUGUACCAGGAAAUAAAAGAAACUUUUCUGGAUU